UAGCAGACACUCAUGUAGGUCUGCCAUGUGCCCCAAAGACUACACAUGUCACCUGUAAUUCUUUGUAGCCACACUAUAGCCUGAACAAGACCAGCCCAUAUCAAGGUUUGGAAAAGAAUCCUUCUUCCUGAUGCAAAGAGCUCCAAUCACAUUGCAAAAGAUGUGCAUAGAGGGGACUGCAGAACUGUGGAUAUUUUUGCAAUUGAUCUGCCACAGAGCUUAAGAAAGCAAAAGGUUUCUCAGAGAUAUAAAAUCUGUGAAGUGAGUUUCAUAACCUAUGUAACUGACUUCAUGAAUUUUUGACAGAUCUAUCACAUUUAUGAAAGUUAUAAGAGAUUUUCCUCCUCUGGGGAAGAAGAAUAGGAUGAGAUGGUGGAGCACAUCCUCCCUCGACAUCCCCCAUCUACUUCAUAAUGCUGGGACGAGGCCCAGCCCAUGUCCCUAACACCUUUCAUUCAUGUUGGAUGGAGUCAAUGGGAUGAGAUCAACCAGAUGGAAAAAGAAAUGCCAGGAUGUGAAUGUGGUGUCAGAGGAACGAACCCAGAUUCUCGCUCAGCUUCCUGAUUCUGCCAGCUGCUGGUGCCCCCUCCAGAUGGAUGAAUCGGAGCCUUUCCAGGGUGCUCAGCUCAAGAUUGCUAUUGUCACACAGUUAUUUAAUACGGGAAAAUUUUAAUCACGUUUGUUUUUCCAUGUUUCGUCCUAACAACAAAUCAUUUUUAAUGGGAGACAAGGAGGUGGAAAAGAAGAUGUAGCAAAUCUUGGCUGGCAUUUUUAUCACCAUUCUCAGAUCUUUGGUCCCAGGGCUGGAUUUGCCACUAACUGCAAAUCAUCCUGAUUGAAUGAGAUGCAUGGGUACUAGGAAGAGGGAUCCACCUGAGGGUCUCCUGAAGGACUCAUGUGGCCCCCUGCCUCCCAUUUGUCUACUACCCCCAAGUAAAAAUUUGGGGACAGCUACUA